rnacentral:rRNA from 1 species
CCUACGGGAGGCAGCAGUGGGGAAUAUUGGGCAAUGGGCGCAAGCCUGACCCAGCAACGCCGCGUGAAGGAAGAAGGCUUUCGGGUUGUAAACUUCUUUUCUCAGGGACGAAACAAGUGACGGUACCUGAGGAAUAAGCCACGGCUAACUACGUGCCAGCAGCCGCGGUAAUACGGAGGUGGCAAGCGUUAUCCGGAUUUACUGGGUGUAAAGGGCGUGUAGGCGGGACGGCAAGUCAGAUGUGAAAACCAGGGGCUCAACCUUGGGACUGCAUUUGAAACUGUAGUUCUUGAGUACAGUAGAGGCAGGCGGAAUUCCUGGUGUAGCGGUGAAAUGCUUAGAUAUUAGGAGGAACACCAGUUGCGAAGGCAGUCUGCUGGACUGCAACUGACGCUGAGGCGCGAAAGCGUGGGGAGCAAACAGGAUUAGAUACCCUAGUAGUC